rnacentral:rRNA from 1 species
AGGAGCUGUCCUUAGUACGAGAGGACCGGGAUGGACGCACCGCUGGUGUACCAGUUGUCUUGCCAAAGGCAUCGCUGGGUAGCUAUGUGCGGACGGGAUAAGUGCUGAAAGCAUCUAAGCAUGAAGCCCCCCUCGAGAUGAGAUUUCCCAUUCGUAAGAAGUAAGAUCCCUCAAAGACGAUGAGGUAGAUAGGUCCGAGGUGGAAGCGUAGCGAUACGUGGAGCUGACGGAUACUAAUCGAUCGAGGACUUAACCA